UAUGUGAAUGUAUGUAUUGUGACUGUAUGUUUUUAUGUAUAUAUGUGUUUAAGCAUUUAUUUAUUUACUUUCUUUCUGAACCAGAUGGAGUGGAUCAUAUAUCACCAAGAGGUCCUAGACUUGGCAGCGGAUGUUGUUGGGCUGUCUUUCUUCAGGAAGGUUGAAUAUGUUCUUUGUUCAAGAAAGGAGCAACUAACUGACAAAGACUGA
rnacentral:lncRNA from 1 species